UGAAGGAAAAUCAGACCGUAUUUCUGCAGCUGAUCAGUCUAACACCAGAAGAUGGUGGGAACUACAUCUGUGAGUGCUCACGUCAUGGAGGAACGUAUAUUCUCCGCCUUAAUCUCACUGUGGAAGAAGAUGAAGAUGAAGACGAAGAUGAAGACGCCAGCAAUUCAACACAACUGCACAUUCCAAAUGUUUUGUUCGGUGGAGCUAUGGUCCUCGUUAUGACGGGAGUUUUCUUCUGGUUUAUCUGUGAGAGAAGGUCAACCACAUCUGGAUUAUCUGUAUGUGGAUCUCCCAGUUCUUUGGACGAAGACCCAAAUGAGCCCUACGCAAGCCUCCAGUACCCAGCAAGUGAUCUCUACCAAACUGUCUGGUAUUCAGCCGUUAACACACUGACCGCCCGCUGUGAUGAGCAGGAAGUAGAUGAGAUCCAAGCUGUGAAAUAUAACAAACAAUCAUAAUAGCAUGACUGUUUUAAAGUAUUAUUUGUUAAAUAUUACUGCAAAAAAUAUCUGGUUUUGUGUAUAGAAGAACAAUAGUUCUUGAUGGAUUUUUGAUAAAGACUGAGUUAGCUUGUCUGUAAAUGCUGCAUCACAUCGUGUCAUGUUCCUCUUGUAGAAUCAAAUUAUAAAGUAAGUCAACAUAAAGUCAAAGCUGUGUUUUUCUGUCCCCUGGUUGGUUGUUUCAGGCCUUCUCAGGGCUGUCAAGUAGCCUUUAUUUCUUUAAAUACACAUACCUUGUAUAUAAUUAAAAAAAUGUAAUUGAGGAAGUUGUGACCUAUUUUAAUCUCAUAAUUAUUCAUAAAUGUAUCACUGUUAUUGCAAUUUAAAAAAUAAAAAAUAAAUUGGAUAAUAUGGAGUUAAUUUUCUACUUACU